GCCAGCAAGCUUCAGAGAAACCUGUAAGCCAUCUGCUGAUCUCUCUGCAGGGCUCACCUGAAGCAGCUGCCUGUGUCAUACAACAGAGGUAAUAAAGUGAGCGGUGCUAAGAAAGCCGGAAAAAAAUGAUCCAAGCCCAGCCUGCUUAUUGCUUUGGAAGUGACUUUAAAUAUUUCCCUCCUACAGUCAGCACCGGAAUGAUGAAGUACAAGGAUGGAUUUACUGCCAGAGAAAUACAGGCACAAGGAAGUUCAGUGUAACGAGCAGGGCUGUGCGCUGCUGGUCUGGAACUCUGUGGAAGAAUGAUCGCCCAGGAAACAGAGGCACCUCCAGCUGGCACCGUCUGUGACAUUAUCCUGUGGAUCGUGCAUUUGCCCAAGUAAAAGCAGCAGACCUCUGGGGCAAGAACUCUCCCCUUCCUGGUGCAAUGAGAAGGGAUAAUUAUGACAUCCUUUGAACCACAGUGUGCCUCGAGCCGUACUCU